UAUCACGAUGAAACACUGGUUCUCGUACGAUCACUGAAGUUAAGCAACGUCGAGCCUGAUCAGUACCUGGUCGGGUGACCGCUUGGGAAUACUAGAUGUUGAAA